rnacentral:rRNA from 1 species
GAUGAACGCUGGCGGCGUGCCUAAUACAUGCAAGUCGAGCGAACAGACGAGGAGCUUGCUCCUCUGACGUUAGCGGCGGACGGGUGAGUAACACGUGGAUAACCUACCUAUAAGACUGGGAUAACUUCGGGAAACCGGAGCUAAUACCGGAUAAUAUAUUGAACCGCAUGGUUCAAUAGUGAAAGACGGUUUUGCUGUCACUUAUAGAUGGAUCCGCGCCGCAUUAGCUAGUUGGUACGGUAACGGCUUACCAAGGCGACGAUGCGUAGCCGACCUGAGAGGGUGAUCGGCCACACUGGAACUGAGACACGGUCCAGACUCCUACGGGAGGCAGCAGUAGGGAAUCUGCCGCAAUGGGCGAAAGCCUGACGGAGCAACGCCGCGUGAGUGAUGAAGGUCUUCGGAUCGUAAAACUCUGUUAUUAGGGAAGAACAAAUGUGUAAGUAACUAUGCACGUCUUGACGGUACCUAAUCAGAAAGCCACGGCUAACUACGUG